rnacentral:rRNA from 1 species
AAUAAACGCUGGCGGCGUGCCUAACACAUGCAAGUCGAGCGAGAAAGCUCCUUCGGGAGUGAGUACAGCGGCGAACGGGUGAGCAACGCGUGGGAAUCUACCCUUCAGUGAAGAAUACCCUUGAGAAAUCGAGGUUAAUACUGCAUACGUCCUGUAAAGGAGAAAGAUGGCAUCCUUGCUGUCGUUGAAGGAUGAGCCUGCGUACUAUUAGCUAGUUGGUAGGGUAACGGCCUACCAAGGCGAUGAUGGUUAACCGGUCUGAGAGGAUGAUCCGGCACACGGGGACUGCGACACGGCCCAGACUCCGACGGGGGGCAGCAGUGGGGAAUAGUGGACAAUAGCGGGAACCCUGAUCCAGCCAUGCCGCGUGUGUGAAGAAGGCCUUAUGGUUGUAAAGCACUUUAAGCGAGGAGGAGGCUCUUUUGGUUAAUACCCAAGAUGAGUGGACGUUACUCGCAGAAUAAGCACCGGCUAACUCUGUGCCAGCAGCCGCAGUAA